GAGCAUGAGGACCACGAUAUUCUAAACAAAAUCAACAAAGCCAUGCUGAAACUCCCCUCACAGCUUUUUACUCCGCUGGACAACAACAAAACAUAUGCUCAAUAUUUGUUUUCAAAGAAGACUGUGGCGUUUGUGUUGGAUCAGUUAAAGAGUCUGAACAAAACUCAUGUAAUCUGUUUGGGAGCUCCGAGGUUCGUACAUGUAUUUGUGGCGUUAUGCUGGGAGCUAGGAAAAAGUCACCUGUUCAAUUAUUGUAUCACAUAUUGUUAUUGUGCAUACUUGUAGUUGUUUUUUCUUUUUUAAACUGACAAUUCUUUUCUUCCAAAGAAUUCAUGAGGCGAUUAUGAAUGAAGAAACUGGAACAUUGAAGAGUUAUCUUCUGGAUUUAGAUUUCAGAUAUGUAUGAUUUUUGUUUUCAUUUUGUAAUUUUGAUAAGUUAACUUUUCAUUAGCAAUUAUUUCAUAAUGAUUUGCUUUCUUGUAUUUUGAAUUGAGAUUAAUGAACCGCUUUUGGAGUAGGCUUUAGUUCAAUGUUUACAAGAUUUGACAUUUUUCAGAUGCAGGUGUAUGGCCCUGAAAAUUUCUCUAGAUACAACAUGUUCAACCACCACUUCUUUGAUGGAGAAAGAUCUGUUAAAUUUCUAACCAAAUUCCUGACCGGUUGUUCGCAUGACCAGGUUGCCAUGGUAUUUGACCCUCCAUUUGGUGGCAUGGUAGAGGCUUUAAGUGUUUCCAUCAGGAAGAUAUCAGAACUUUGGAAAUCAGUAACAAAAGCUCCUACAGACCUGACUCUCUCAAUCUUAUGGUUUUUUCCCUACUUCAUGGAGAAAAGAAUAAUAGAUUCCUUCAAGGACUUUCAGAUGCUAGAUUACAAGGUAGACUAUGAUAACCACACUCUCUUCCGGGGAGAUGUGAAGAAACAUGGAUCGCCGGUCCGGAUAUUUACCAAUAUUCAUCCCCAGAAAAUUAAACUGUCAGCUGAUGAAGGAUACAGGUUCAAAAUUUUGUCAACAUUUUUUAUUGAAGAUUUUUUUUUCAAUCGCAAUCAGGAAAAAUUUGUCAAGUAUAUCCAAGUUGAAACCAAGUUGCUGCUUACAUUGUCCUUGGUAAUAUUACCUUUCUAUGGCAUAAUGGGAGGAAAAUAUAUGCACUUGUAUGUAUACCCGGUAUGCGAACUUUCAUGUGCAUGUACAUGCAUGAGCAUGAAUAUUGAUGGUGCAAUUAUACUGACUCCUUCUUCAUCAGUCGUACAGUGUACUCAUUAUCUUCUAGCUGAAAUAUUCUCUGACUUUAUAGGUUUUGUGCAGUAUGCAAGAGAUACUCUGCCAAGGAGAACAUUCACUGUGAUGUGUGUGACAGUUGCCCAACAAAAGUAAGAGGUUUGCAGAUUCAGGCGGAACUAUUGUAUAUACAGGGUUUUUUUCACCCUUCUUCACUUACAAACAGUUUCAUUCUGUCUUGAAUUUGUCCAUGAAGUUAAUUUGUUUUAAAAAUUUGAGACAUAGGAAAUCACCCAGUCUUAAAUUUGUCCUCUGGUAAUGAGGGCGAGAGGGGCAAAAAUAAAAUGGGGGCAAAUAUUUCCUUAUAUACAGUAUUUACUUCAGUGUGUGAACAAUCAUGCUCAUACUAAAGAAAGUUAUAUUUAAAAUAGUACAUGUACUGUGAUUUUAUAAUUUAUUGCUCAACACUAAUUUUCACACGUUUUGUGUGUUAAGCAGAUCGAAUUAAGAUGUUCAAAAAAGUAAGACAGUUGACAAAGAUAUGCGUAGGUUGUGUCACGCUCCACAAUUUAAGAGAUCCUUGAAACUGACCUUGAUAAUUGGUGGUACAUAACAGAAUUUACGUGUUAUGUGUUGUAGUAUGGGGCCACAUACAGGCACUGUUUUAAGUGUGAUCGGUGCAACAAACCCAGCAAGGAGCAUUGUGAGGUCUGUCGGACUUGUCAACUGAAAGGGCACUCCUGUGAUAAACCUUCACAAGGAUGUCAUAUAUGUGGUGCUCUUGAUCACAAGAGAAGAGAGUGUCCCGAGAAAGGAUCUCAAAAGGCGUCUAAAAGGUUAAUCGUCAACAAUAUAAGCAACCAUGUGAAUGUAUACAUUAACGAUUGAACAUUUUCCGAGAGUAUUUAUACACAAGCAAUACGUGUUCUUUACUUUCUUUCUUUUUAAAACUCUUGUGUUGUUAAAGGAGAUGUUCAAUCCAUUUAUCAAAAGUUUAAAUUAAACUUGACAGAUGAGAAAUAUUGUUACAUAAAAUCCUUUUGGUUUUCCAACUAAAUGAUAAAAAAGGUUGAUAUUGAAGCUUUGAAGCAUUGAAUGUUGAUAUUGUACUUUUACAAGCAACAAAAUGUAUAUUUAUGAAUUCUCAAGACUUGGUUAUUUUAUAAAAUCUGUUUUAUGGAGUAUAUCUGCUUGGCCUAAGCUGUAUAUAUUUCUUUUAUUUAUCAAUAUUGAUGAUUCUUAAUUCUGGAAUGUCUUUCUUUUUUCAGGAAAAGGAAAUGGGUGGAGAAUAGAUCAAAGAAAAAGAUGAAAUGUUAAAAAUUUUUAAUGAAAUAAAAUUUUGUUAAUAU
rnacentral:misc_RNA from 1 species